rnacentral:rRNA from 1 species
UACAGAGGUCCCAAGCGUUGUUCGGAUUCACUGGGCGUAAAGGGUGCGUAGGCGGUCGGGUAAGUCUGGCGUGAAAUCUCCAAGCCUAACUUGGAAACUGCGUUGGAUACUAUCCGGCUCGAGGAAUGGAGGGGAGACUGGAAUACUUGGUGUAGCAGUGAAAUGCGUAGAUAUCAAGAGGAACACCAGUGGCGAAGGCGAGUCCCUGGACAACUUCUGACGCUGAGGCACGAAAGCUAGGGGAGCAAACAGG